UUGCAGCCGGUUAGGCCAACGGCUCUUUUCCCUAUGGGAGUCCGGUGUGCAAUGCCUGCAAACAGCAGCCUCCUAGGUAGUGUAUGCAGCCUGUUGCUUAUAGGUUGCCCUAAGGGACCUUGGAAACAGCC
ensembl:snoRNA SNORA70 Small nucleolar RNA SNORA70